rnacentral:misc_RNA from 1 species
GAUGAAGAACGUAGCGAAAUGCGAAAAGUAAUGUGAAUUGCAGAAUUCAGUGAACCAUCGAAUCUUUGAACGCACAUUGCGCCCGCUGGAACUCCGGCGGGCACGCCUGUCCGAGCGUCAUUUCAACCCUCAGGCCCCCCUUCGCGGGCGGGCCUGGUGUUGGGGCCCGGCCGCUACCCUGCGGCCGUCCCCUAAAUUCAGUGGCGGCCUCGCCGUGAUCCCUUGCGUAGUAAUGCACCUCACACCGGAGAGCGCCGUGGCCACGCCGUAAAACCCCCAAUUUUCAAUGGUUGACCUCGGAUCAGGUGGGAAUACCCGCUGAACUUAAGCAUAUCAAUAGCGGAGGA